UACGUAGGGUGCAAGCGUUGUCCGGAAUUAUUGGGCGUAAAGAGCUCGUAGGCGGUCUGUCGCGUCGGCUGUGAAAUCCCGAGGCUCAACCUCGGGUCUGCAGUCGAUACGGGCAAACUUGAGUGUUGCAGGGGAGACUGGAAUUCCAGGUGUAGCGGUGAAAUGCGUAGAUAUCUGGAGGAAUACCGGUGGCGAAGGCGGCAUCCUGGACCGGCAUUGACGCUGAGGAGCGAAAGCCAGGGGAGCAAACGGG
rnacentral:rRNA from 1 species